rnacentral:rRNA from 1 species
UCGCAGAUCAGAAUGCUGCGGUGAAUGCGUUCCCGGGUCUUGUACACACCGCCCGUCACACCACGGGAGUUGGAGACGCCCGAAGCCGAUUAUCUAACCUUUUGGAAGAAGUCGUCGAAGGUGGAAUCAAUAACUGGGGUGAAGUCGUAACAAGGUAGCCGUAUCGGAAGGUGCGGCUGGAUCACCUCCUUUCUAAGGA